rnacentral:snoRNA from 1 species
GUCCAUGAAUCCGUGGGACCUGUCUCCUAUGGCAGCCUCCCUUCCUAGCCAUGGAAGAGCAGCGUCUUGCUUUUUGGCAAAGCUUUCACUGUCUUAAUUGGUGAAAGUAUCUGACUGGAGCAAGUAACACGU